rnacentral:rRNA from 1 species
CGGAGACGGAGCAUGAGAAACGGCUACCACAACUAAGGUUGGCAGCAGGCGCGCAAAUUGCCCAAUAGCAACAUCUAGCUGAGGCAGCGAAGAGAAAUAGCAACUUCAUGCGGCCCUGCCGUGUGAAGAUUGCCAUGGACGAUAUCUAAACCUGUCGGAGUAUCAAUUGGUGGACAAGUCUGGUGCCAGCACCCGCGGUGAUUCCAGCACCAAUAGCGUAUAUUAAUGCUACUGCUGUUAAAAAGCUCGUAGUUGGAUCAAGAGUUCGACAGUGCAAGGUGGCCUCGCUUGCCCACUUGGCUCCGGUCAUGUGUGCGGCGGCGGAUCAACCCCUUGCGCCAAACUGUCGUCUCUAACAGACCGAAGCGGUUCGCUGUGAGUAGGCCACUUAAUUGGGGCUGAAAGCGUUUACGCAGUAACCACAUGCAUACGGGACGUCGGUCAAAGUUACUGUGAACAAACCAGCGUGUCCAAAACAGGCUUUGCCUGAAUGUUCGAGCAUGGAAUAACAAGGGAUCGAUUCUCUCGGUUCUUUUUGUUGAUUUUUAACCCGAGAAGGAGUAAUUCAGGCCAAGGUGUCUGGGCUGGGUUCCCCUUCACUUCGGUGAAGGCCCCAGUUAGGCCUUGUCCUUACGGGAUAAAUAGGGACUGACGGGGUCGUACGUACUUCCACGUCAGAGGUGAAAUUCUUAGGUCGUGGGAAGACGAACUUCUGCGAAAGCAUUCGACAAGAAUGUCUUCAUUAAUCAAGAACGAGAGUGUGGGGAUCGAAGAUGAUCAGAUACCGUCGUAGUCCACUACUGUAAACAAUGCCGUCUCAGGAUUGAGAAGUGAACCUAAUGACUUUCACAGCACUAACCCCUGAAACGAGAAAUCAAAGAUUAUGGGUUCAGGGGGGAGUACAUUCGCAAGGCUGAAACUUAAAGGAAUUGACGGAAUGACACCACAAGGCGUGGAGUAUGCGGCUUAAUUUGACUCAACACGGGGAAUUUUACUAGGUCAGGACAAUGUAAGGAUGACAGAUUGAGAGCUCUUUCUCGAUCCAUUGUGUGGUGGUGCAUGGCCGCUCCUGGUUGGUGGAGUGAUUUGUCUGGUUGAUUCCGUUAACGAACGAGAUCUCGACCCUUAAAUAGGUGCCCGUGUCGAUUGUAGUCUUGCCUCUGCCUGCUUGCAGGAUUUGAGCAGGACGAGACUGCGGGAAUACUUCUUAAGGGGACUGUGUGCGUCUCUAGCACGCGGAAGAGCGAGCCAAUAGCAGGUCUGUGAUGCUCCUAAAUGUCCUAGGCUGCGCGCGCACUACACUGAUGCACUAAACGAGUCUGAGUGCCUUCUGGCACCCUGCCUGGAACCGGGUGGGAAGUCUUUUGAACUUGCAUCGUGAUGAGGAUCGACGAUUGCAAUUAUUCUCCUUGAAUGAGGAAUGCCUAGUAGGCACAAGUCAUCAGCUUGUACUGAUUACGUCCCUGCCAUUUGUACACACCGCCCGUCGUUGCUACUGAUUGGCUGUAGGGUAGAGAUCGGCGGAUUUCGGCAUCUUGGGGCAACCCUCGUUGCUGGGAGAAACCUAUCAAUAUUCUGCAGCUAGAAGAAGCAAAAGUCGUAACAAGG